GCCCUAGUGGUCUAGUGGUUAAGAUUUGGCACUCUCACAGCCGAGGCCCUGGGUUUGUUUCCCAGUCAGGGAA
rnacentral:tRNA from 1 species